CGAGGCGGCCCCCUGGACAAGACUGACGCUCAGGUGCGAAAGCGUGGGGAGCAAACAGGAUUAGAUACCCUGGUAGUCCACGCCGUAAACGAUGUCGACUUGGAGGUUGUUCCCUUGAGGAGUGGCUUCCGGAGCUAACGCGUUAAGUCGACCGCCUGGGGAGUACGGCCGCAAGGUUAAAACUCAAAUGAAUUGACGGGGGCCCGCACAAGCGGUGGAGCAUGUGGUUUAAUUCGAUGCAACGCGAAGAACCUUACCUACUCUUGACAUCCAGAGAACUUAGCAGAGAUGCUUUGGUGCCUUCGGGAACUCUGAGACAGGUGCUGCAUGGCUGUCGUCAGCUCGUGUUGUGAAAUGUUGGGUUAAGUCCCGCAACGAGCGCAACCCUUAUCCUUUGUUGCCAGCGGUUCAGCCGGGAACUCCAAGGAAAAUGCCCAUGGAUAACUUGAAGAAGGUGGGGAAGGACUCCAGUUAUCCUGGGCCUUACCAGUUAGGCUUCCCACCUGCUACCAUUGCGCAUACCAAGAAAAACCACCUCCCGAGAACCAGCGGAACUCAUUAAGUGGGUCCUAAUUCGGAACCGAAUCCUGCACUUCACUUCCUGAAAUUCGAAUCGGCUGUAAUCGUAGAUGAAAAUGCUACAAUGAAUACGUCCCGGGCGUGGGUAGCUUAACCUUCGGGAGGGCGCUUGCCACGGUGUGGCCGAUGACUGGGGUGAAGUCGUAC
rnacentral:rRNA from 1 species